UACGUAGGGUGCAAGCGUUAAUCGGAAUUACUGGGCGUAAAGCGUGCGCAGGCGGUUUUGUAAGACUGUCGUGAAAUCCCCGGGCUCAACCUGGGAAUGGCGAUGGUGACUGCAAGGCUAGAGUUUGGCAGAGGGGGGUAGAAUUCCACGUGUAGCAGUGAAAUGCGUAGAUAUGUGGAGGAACACCGAUGGCGAAGGCAGCCCCCUGGGCCAAUACUGACGCUCAUGCACGAAAGCGUGGGGAGCAAACAGG
rnacentral:rRNA from 1 species